UCACCUGGUCACUCCUUAUUUAAGACUGCACUCACUCUCAGUCAGUGUCUUCUACACCUUUGUAUGGGGUGGCAGCUGAUUCUCCAACCCAUGUGUGUCUGUUCUGUUCUGUUCUCCAGUAUCAUUUGCCUCACCCUUUGUUAAAUAAAUCUUCAUUGAAUGGACUGAA